rnacentral:rRNA from 1 species
UGCAGCGACGCCGCGUGAGGGAUGACGGCCUUCGGGUUGUAAACCUCUUUCAGCUCCGACGAAGCGUAAGUGACGGUAGGAGUAGAAGAAGGACCGGCCAACUACGUGCCAGCAGCCGCGGUAAUACGUAGGGUCCGAGCGUUGUCCGGAAUUACUGGGCGUAAAGAGCUCGUAGGUGGUUUGUCGCGUUGUUCGUGAAAACUCACAGCUCAACUGUGGGCGUGCGGGCGAUACGGGCAGACUGGAGUACUGCAGGGGAGACUGGAAUUCCUGGUGUAGCGGUGGAAUGCGCAGAUAUCAGGAGGAACACCGGUGGCGAAGGCGGGUCUCUGGGCAGUAACUGACGCUGAGGAGCGAAAGCGUGGGGAGCGAACAGGAUUAGAUACCCUGGUAGUCCACGCCGUAAACGGUGGGUACUAGGUGUGGGUUUCCUUCCUUGGGAUCCGUGCCGUAGCUAACGCAUUAAGUACCCCGCCUGGGGAGUACGGCCGCAAGGCUAAAACUCAAAGAAAUUGACGGGGGCCCGCACAAGCGGCGGAGCAUGUGGAUUAAUUCGAUGCAACGCGAAGAACCUUACCUGGGUUUGACAUGCACAGGACGCCAGUAGAGAUAUUGGUUCCCUUGUGGCCUG